rnacentral:misc_RNA from 1 species
GAUGAAGAACGUAGCGAAAUGCGAUAAGUAGUGUGAAUUGCAGAAUUCAGUGAAUCAUCGAGUCUUUGAACGCACAUUGCGCCCCCUGGUAUUCCGGGGGGCAUGCCUGUCCGAGCGUCAUUGCUGCCCUCAAGCACGGCUUGUGUGUUGGGCCCCGUCCUCCGAUCCCGGGGGACGGACCCGAAAGGCAGCGGCGGCACCGCGUCCGGUCCUCGAGCGUAUGGGGCUUUGUCACCCGCUCUGUAGGCCCGGCCGGCGCUUGCCGAUCAACCCAAAUUUUUAUCCAGGUUGACCUCGGAUCAGGUAGGGAUACCCGCUGAACUUAAGCAUAUCAAUAAGCGGAGGA